rnacentral:lncRNA from 10 species
CCCCGCCCCGCCCCGCGGCGCCAGAGGACCGGAUGGAGCUACACUUACUGGUUCAGCCAGGAGGCCCUGCGCAGCUGCGGGGAGAGCUGGGUGGUUGUGCCACCUCAUUAGACACAUUGGUGGACGAUGCCACAGAUUAGCAGGUGCUAGUGAUUCAAGGUAAUCCCACUGGAGGGAACACACGCUGCGAUGCACCCUCUCCUCUUCCACUGAGCCAGGGGUGACCUUGAGUGACUCCGGCCAUCUCAGCAGGCUCUACCAGGAACAGCACCUAGAGCUGGUAGACAGCACGGGCUGCAGAGAGGGGACCUCUGGGCUGGUGGUCAAGCUACUGGAACUGUCACUAUUUCAGACCAAGCCAGGCUCGCAAGUCUUAGCUGUUCUUGCCGAUUCUCCUGAAUGCUCACUCCAGGAAGAGCAGUCAGGAAAUGUUUCUUUGGAAAUAGCUUCAAAGACACCAGCAUACCACUAUGAACACUUAAAAUAUGGAGACAGAGCAUUUGGAGUGCUGCUCCCAGCAUGUCGGAGGGAAAAGCAGCAAGAUCCUUCCCGGAGCCUUGAGACAAGAGUUGUGUCAACUGUGGAUGGCUAUGCCCCAGUCACUCGAGAGACACGAAUCAAUUUCCCAGCUGCAUUUAUCACUUGCUGCCUUAAAUCAAGUCUAAUCAAUGCUUCCUUCAUUUGGUAUGGAUUGAAACUAUACAUAACACACUCAGAAAACAGGACAGAAAAGCAGCAGAUCACAAAAAUUCCAUCAGGGAUUUAGAUGGAACGAUGUUAAAGAAACAUUUGCAAUCUUUCAUUUGCUCUAAUGGAGACCCCUGACCAAACAAUGAGAGAUUUGCGUUCAUGAAGCUUAAUUUGAAUUUACCUGACAUGCAGUGACAUUACAUGACAGGCCAUUUGAUAUAUGGUGGGUUUCUGCAUGUUUAAGGAUUUUAUAAUUAAUACGCUCUUAGGAUCUGAUGUAUAUUUAUAAUUUCAUUCCUAUACUAAGUUUUAAACUCAUUUCCAUUUCUUUUAGAGGUAUCUGUUUUACCAUCAUUGACUAUAUAAUUCAAUUUCCAGUUAUAACAUAUAAAGUAAUAAAAAAUCCCUUUAUAACAAAACAGAUAUCUAGGAGUCUGUUUUGUUUUUGUUUUUUUGUUAAUAAUUUUAUAAAGUCUUAAAUAUGGCCCUCUCUCUCCUCCUCCCAAUUCUUGGUAUUAAUAACAGAAUUUGAUCCACGUAACCAAAGUGAGUUUUUCAUUCGCAGGUGUGAAAACCGCUCCCCAGCUGUCAACCAAUUUAGAAUGUGGUAGGGAGCAGUCUUGUCUCAUUUGCAGCUUAAUCUUGUGCCAGUGAAAGGUGAUACCAGCUUAGUUACCGGCACCUAAAACCUGGCCAUGCCCACAGCAAGGCCUCCGAUCGUUCUUCAAGGAUAAUGGGACAAGAGAGACAGAACACAGAAAACCAGGUCAAUGAUAAUGCAAGCCUAGAAGAUGAGGCAGUGCUGUGAUUCACUGGCAUAAUUAAUAUUUCUAUCUAAUCUGCUGAACUGUGUAGACUUUUACCACUAGCCUGCCUUUGUAGCGAUUAACAGGGCUGACUCAUUUUCACAGUGCCAGCUCCCCCAGCGACCUGUUGUUAGGUAGCUAAAUAGAGCCCUGUUCAGCUCUGGGAAGUGAAACAAUAAUAAUAAACCCUUACGCUGGUUUAACGCUUUCCAGUUCAUACAAGUGCUUUGAACAUACAGUCUCCUAGCACUGGAAGGCCAGCAAUAAAAGCAGUUCUAUUUCCAUUUCUGUCUACGGCCAUACCACCCUGAACGCACCCGAUCUCAUCUAUUCCCCCUUUUUUUUUUUUCCUUUGAGACAGAGUCUCACUCUGUCCCCCAGGCUGGAGUGCAGUGGCACGAUCUAAGCUCACUGCAAUCUCCGCCUCCCGGGUUCAAGUGAUUCUCCUGCCUCAGCCUCGAGUAGCUGGGAUUACAGGGGCCCACCACCACGCCCAGAUAAUUUGUUUGUAUUUUUAGCAGAGACAGGGUUUCACCAAGUUCGCCAGGCUGGUCUCGAACUCCUGACCUCAAGUGAUCCGUCUGCCUCAGCCUCCCAAAGUGUUGGGAUUACAGGCAUGAGCCACCACGCCCAGCCCCAUUUCUAAGAUGAAGGGAAAGGUGUAGUUUGGAGUCCCCUACCCUUGUGAGUCAGCCACAGUGGAGCUGGGUUGAAUUGGAGGCUGCCUCUUGUCAACCGCAAAGUCUUGAUUUUUCCCACUGAGCUGCGACUAGGCAGUCACUGGGUCUCUUCCCUAUACUUUCCCCAACUUAUUUUUUUCUCCCAUCACCUAUGGGUUUUGGGAAACCCAUAUGGUUAUAGGAGAACCCUAAAGUUGCCUGGCAGGUUGUCUAGUUUAAAAAAAAUAAAUGAAAGGCAGCACCUUUGGAGGUGUUUUGGGUUACUGAGCUAGUGUAGUAUAGUGUUCUCAGCCCAUCUUAAACAAAGACAGAGUAAUGUGAUAUAACAAAGUUUCAACCUCUGUGAACAAAGAAAGGGUAGGAGAAACACUGCCGACACGGACUCUGAAAUUAAGGAGCUCACUCACGUUGUCUUUAAUACUCAUGAGGGUUGUUUAAUGAGCUCCCUGGCUUUGAGGAUGUCCGGGAAGGAUCAUGUUUGCUCAUUCUUUGAGGAAGGGAAUAACAAGUUUUUCUACCCAAGACAAGUCCACUGAAGUAGAUCCUGUCAAGAUUCCUAAGAACAGAAACUGAUGGAAGGAAGAAAACUUCCAUGGCUUUAAACUUUUAGACAAGAGAGGAUUUGCUUAACUUGCUUGACUUCAGUGGAAGUAAAUGAGGGGAGUUACAGAUAAUACUUUUUCAAACUGGCUUCAGGUAAUGUACUAUUGAGGAGAAAUGCAUUUUCAAUGGUCAUAAGGACUUGGAAGCUCUCCAAGGAGGCUGAGAGAAGUCUUGAACACAUUCCAGCAAAGCAGUUAUAGUAUUCAGGAGUUCAUAUGCAUUUUAAGUGCCGUAGUCACCCCAGGAUCAUGUUAACACAAACUAGAAAAGUACAAAUAUUCACCAUCUUCACAAGCCCUAAGUAAAAAGUAUCAUACCCUUUCUUGAAAUUAAUGAUGCUACUGAGAUUAAUAGAUCAGAUUUCAUUUCCUCCUCAAAGCAAAUUGGUUUAUCUUAUUUGUUCAUUCAUUCAACAAAUAUUUAUGGAGUGCUUGAGAAUAAGGACACUGAUGAUUCAGUGUUAACAAGACCCUACCUCCCCAGCAGCUUAAACUCAAGUGGGAACACUCAUAAACUAUUAAUGGAGACUUACACUUCCAGUCCCAAUGGAUUAACAGGGACCAGAUUUACUCUCCCGUCAGACAUAACCAAAGCAGAGAAACGGAAGCAAUACACAAAACCAUGACUUUCCAAACUCUGAACUUCAGGCAAUGCAGGACAGUGAUCCUGAGAGACAGAAAACAAGGUGAGACCUACUGCCUUGAAAGACUUUCCAUGCUAUGCAGAGAAGGACAAUCCAGGCAGAACCCAGGGGGUUCUGGAGUUCAAAAACAGGGCUGAGGACUCGGGGUGAUGAAGGCAGCUAACAUUUGCAGGAUAGAGCUCCAGAGAGGAGACAGCUGCACAGACAACCCUGGCUAUCUGGAGAGAGAGAGGAGAGCACUCUUCUAGAACCAUCUGAAAAGAUUAGAGGGGGCUGGGUGCAGUGGCUCAGGCCUGUAAUCCCAGCACUUUGGGAAUCUAAGGCGAGUGGAUCACCUGAGGUUUGAGACCAGCCUGGCCAACAUGGUGAAAACCUGUCUCUACUAAAAACACAAAAAAGUAGCCAGGUGUGGUGGUGCAUGCCUGUAAUCCCAGGUACUUGGGAGGCUGAGGCAGGAGAGUCACUUGAACCCAGGAGGCAGUGAGCUGAGAUCGCAUCACUGCACUCCAGCCUGAGCAACAGAACAAGACUCUGUCUCGAGGUAAAAAAAAAAAAAAACCACACACACUCACAUUAGAGAGAACAGUCCUCAGUAUGCACACAGGGAACAGUGUGAGUUCAAUCAGCCAGGCUGAAAAACUCGUAAUUCAUAAGGCAUGGUGCAGCACUCAGGAAAAUCAGCACUGGGGAAGGAUUUGCCCUAGACUGAGCAUCGCGCCAGAGCUGCCUAACAAAUUACAAAGCGAGACCCGUAAGGAUCAAGCUACUUCCAUGUCACUGGACGGCAUCCCUACACAAAGAUAGAGAGUAUAUAUAAGAAUGCAUAUCCAGCACCUAAGACGGUAAAAUUCACAAAGUGUGGCAUCCAAUCAAAGACUAUGAGGCAUGCAAAAAAAAAGAGACUCAUUAUUAAGGACUUGUAUCCAGAAUUUAUAAAGAACUCUCAAACUGUCGGGCUUGGUCACUCAUGCCUAUAAUCCCAGCACUUUGGGAGACCAAAGUGGGCAGAUUGCUUGAGCUCAGGAGUUCAAGACCAGACUGGGCAACAUGGCAAAAGCCCGUCUCUACCAAAAAUACAAAAAUUAGCCCAGCCUGGUGGUGCACACCUAUAGUCCCAGGUACUUGGGGGCACUGAGGCAUGAGAAUUGCUUCAGCCUGGGAGGCAGGUGUUACAGUGAGCCAAGAUCACGCCACUGCACGCCAGCCUGGGUGACAAAGUGAGAUUCCAUCUCAAAACACACACACACACACACACACACACACACACACACACACACACACACA